GGUCCCACCUGCCCAGUGACUCUUAGUUCAACGGCCGCGGUAUUUUGACCGUGCUAAGGUAGCGUAGUCACUUGUCUUUUAAAUGAAGACCCGUAUGAAUGGCAUUACGAGGGCUUAACUGUCUCCUUCCCCAUGUCAAUGAAAUUGAUCUCCCCGUGCAAAAGCGGGGAUGAGCCCAUNAGACGAGAAUACCCUANGGAGCUUUANACNCUCUGGCAGANCUUGUCAUAUGCGCCUUAUUACGGGCCCUGAACUAAGUGAACCCCUGCCCCUAUGUCUUCGGUUGGGGCGACCAUGGGGAACACAAUACCCCCACGUGGAAAAGGAGAACACCCCAAUAUUCCCACCCUCCUACGUACUAGAGCGACAGCUCAAACCAGCACAAAUUCUGACCAAACAGAUCCGGCAACGCCGAUCAACGAACCAAGUUACCCUAGGGAUAACAGCGCAAUCCCCUUUUANANCCCAUAUCNACAAGGGGGUUUACNACCUCNAUGUUGGAUCAGNACAUCCUAAUGGUGCAGCCGCUAUUAAGGGUUCGUUUGUUCAACGA
rnacentral:rRNA from 1 species